rnacentral:lncRNA from 1 species
UGCACAUGAAUGACGUUUGGGCUGAAGCUCACUAGCUGGCUGGUGAAAUCAACCACCUUAGGUUCAUAACCAGGACAGGGUGACUGUUAAGAUUAAUUAACAUAGUCAUUAAGGGAUUAAUCCCUGCUUGUACUAACCGCAUGCAGUUGCAAACUGCUGCGCCGGUUCUCUGUUCAACAGGCACCGGUUCUCUGUUCAACAGGCACCUCCUCCGAACAAACACCUCUCUACUGGCGUCCCCUCCCUUGUAUAAAUAGCAGUUACCAUCCAAUAAAGAGGACACUUGAUUCAUUUUAUUGUAUGAACUUCUCUGCCGAUCUUUAUUUUAACACGUUGUCAGCACCUAGUUUCUACCGAAAGCAAAAUAGAUCAGAAUCGAAGGAGAAUCGAGUGACGGUGAGGAUGGCCGUCGCCGCUAUCUUAUUGCCGCUAUGAUGGUCACCACCACCAAGCGGGUCACCGCACCAAUGGAUUCGGCCCUGGUGCCGUUGCUCCUCAUCUCCCGCGCGCAGAUGAACAAGGGACUCGAUCCCUGGCUGGUGCGCGUGCCCCCACCUCCGCCGGUGCCCUCGGGCUCGCAAAUGAUGCCUCCAACGGCGUCGCUCCCGGCACCCACCUCCAACACUCUCGACAUCUGAGAAGAACAGGCGCUCCGGCGUCGCCUUCAUCGAGCACGGGCGCUCGCCGUCGAGCAGCCGCUCCGGUCGCUGGUCUUGACUGCGUCAGUAUGCGCCGGUGCCGUGGCCUCGCCGCCCGCGACUGUCGGUGGCCGCGCCUGACCUUGGUCGCGCAGGACCAUGGCGCCCGUGGCCGUCCGGACGCGCCCAGCGCGGCCGCCGCGCUAGUGGCCGCCCUGCAUGCCCUGUAUCCGUGGCCGCCCGUCCGCACGUGCCGCCGGAUCCCUCGCACACCGGCUCCGUCUAUGCCGACAGCGCCAGCCCCAUCUUCGCAGGCCACGACCGCUCAUAGCGCAACGGCUCGACACUCCCGUCAGCGGAGGUGACUCCCAGAGCGGAGCAUGGCUGAGGCACAACCACAGCCUCCAACACAAGGCGCCGUGAAGUGGCUUCGAUUCUUCGGACGCCAAGACGCAUGCGCGAAGGCGCGGCUCUCACCUGCGAGCCCCUUCCGUGCGCUGGAUAUGCUGGCGCCCGCUGCUGUGGACCUCAGCCAUCAACGAUGCGGCAGCCGGCUCGCCGAGCGACAACGCUCUCCGGCGCGGCCAUCACAUAGCGCAGCGGCCGCGUCCGGCGACCUGCGGGUCAAGGCACCGCGUGCGUGAGCCAAAUCUGUCUCUCGAUUGGUAAUCACACUAGGCAUUUGGAUAAGAAACCUUAUCCCUUCUCUUGUUUUGCAAUAUGAUACCUGUAUUUUCAGGAAUUAACAAAGCAGUCUGAUUUAGUGGUCCAGGCUAAUAUUUGCACGUCAUCCUUCAAUUUCGGGGAUUUCGUAAUUUGGUCAUCUUAACGGUGCUAUUUACUAGCAUGAAUCUGUUUUAGACCUAUUAAAUUCAGUACAUACUGUUCUGUUGAGUACCGAGCUGUAUUCCAGAUCUUAAGUUGAUGUAAUAUAUUUCCACGUUUAUCACGUGUUGAGAUUAAUUACAUCCAUUUGCAAUAGAGAUUUUAAAUCUCUUGUAAAGAUAAAUUCAGUACAUGUGCAGUACUAUUUCUCCGUUGAGUACGAGGUAUUCCGAAAUGUAUGUAUCUCCAUGUUCGUUACAUGUCGAGAUUAAUACUUUUAUUUGCAAUUGAGAUUUUUAAUUUCUUGCAAAUGGAACCAAUUUACCUUAAUUGAGCCUUUGGCUUGAUACAAGCAAGAAUUGAUAUGCAAAAUUCUAAGUGUUGUUUUUCAAAUUGAUGUUUUGGAAUCACAAGGUAGUGUGUAGAUCUACUACUUGUAGAUUAUCACCACUACUGUUAAAGCCUAUAUUUUGUCAUUCUGACAUUAUAAUUGCUUUACAAAGUGCUCUCCCACACAUUUUACUAAGUCAUGACAUAAGGCAUUACAAGUGAAUAUCUACUGAUUUCAUCAGAUUAUACUCCCUAGUGUUGUGAGAUCUACUCCAUUUUGGAGAUUAUCUUCAAGGUGUCAUACUUAGCAAUUUGAGAUUCACACUAAUGGUUUCAAGAUAACUUCUUGAAAUACCCAUUGAUUUUGCUAAGUUCAUUACAACAUCAACCAUGAUGGUCUUUAAUUUACUGAUUGUAAAUUAAUUAUCUCCGGUUUACCCUUAGAGGUAACAUAUGGUUAUAGAAUUUGAGGCAUUCGCCCUCGAUGGCCACCAUUGCCAGCCCUAUCUGGUCCAUGGACAUCAAUGAUCGUUCUUGUGUCUCGUGGGAUAAUGUGUGCAAUAGAGGAUUCACUUCAGCAAUUUCUGGGAUACAAUGAACUCAGGGGCAAAAGUUUGAAGCUCACUUCAACCUUUAACCCGACAUCACCAGUGAUGACGGGAUCCUAUGGGCAUGGAGAAUGUGUGGUUGAAUAUGCCUCAACUGACAUGUUUGGAGACUAUGAGUAGUCUCUCAGUCUCCUAAAUAUUUUUGUCAUCAUAUAUUGUGUAUCACAAUAUAUUGUAUCAGCACUUUGGUACAAAUACAUUUAUAUGUAUUAUAUAUAUCUGACAGUGAUUUCCAUAUUGAAAAUCUUCAUGUCUAUAUAUAUAGAUUUCUACGGGAGUCAAUCCAACUAAAGAUGACAUGUGCCUUGUGGACAUAUGCACCACAAACUCUAUACUCAUGGAAGUCCAAUGUUUUCACUCUCGUUGAGAGAAAGAAGACAUUUCAAAAUCGCUAGACGCGAUGAGGUAUUGGUUGGCUCAACUUGAGUCAUAUUUACUAUCCCCGUGGGUACUCGAGUAAUGUUAGGAUGCUUUAUUGCUUCCUGGUUUAACUCGUACCCUACUAAACUAUAGUGGUAUCCGUCAAAAUAGUUUCCAUAACGAAACUUAUGAUGACAACAAAGAGAAAUAACUUCUCUUUAUCAUAUGCAAGAAUAAUUGAAAGCACAUUUUCUAUGUAUCAUCUGGAUUGUACUACACAUACGACACAACCCGUAGCACACCUUGCGUACGAGAUAGUUUUCCAGAGUGUCUUGUACAUGACAACCUUGGCAUUCUCGCCUUCGUCAUCGAGACAUUGGGUUGAAAGCAAAAAUAUCACCAAUUCCAAUAGUUUAUUAUUAUUAUGAUGCUAAAUUCUAACAGUAUUUGGAUUUUGUGCACACUACAUGUGACGCAAGGAAUCUAAUUUUAAGGCUCGUGUACCUUAAAGUCUAUGCUGAACCACUCAGACUCCUUGAAUGCAUCAAAUCGAGGUAAGUGGCUCUUCCCAUCCAUUGACUAGACCAUUCAGGUAUUCCAUGGUUCUAGAAGACAUAUCUAUAUGAUUGUCUCAAGUGUGAUUUAUCCACAUGAAACCAUUGGCUCAUUAUCCUCACAUCGAUUUCAAGCAAAUCGAAUGGAUAACAUAGCAAAUUCUCCUUGAGUACCUUCUCUAUGGUCCUUGGAUUGAAGUUUGCAUUUUUUCCUAAUGUCUAGACUCAAAAUGGUUUGGUAGAAUCCUUUAUCCAGAGAAUUAAGCUCAUUGCAUUAUCUUUACUUUGGAAUUGCAACUUACCAACUUUACGUGGGAGUCAUGCAGUUUUACACGCUCAUGACAGAACUGCAUAAUAUUAUUCCCCUCUAUCUUUGAUACGUGGAAAUCUAUCAAGUAUUUUCCAUCUGCGGUAAUUCGGUUGCAUACCGAUAUCAUCAUCCGGCAUACAUCAUUGGCCCCUCAACAUAUAGUUGGGAUCUAUGUGAGGAAUAACUGUAUUACCGUCAAUACCUCAAACCCCUCACAUGGGGAGUUAUUCAAGGCCAGUAUGCCGAUUCAAUGAGGAAUAUUUUCAGGCAUUAGGGGGAGAAUUCAAGUACCAUAAAGAAUGCCAGGAAAUUAGUGGAAUGUUCAACACAUUUCUGCCUCAAAUCCACGUACUCAAAGAUCUGAACCAUGCGUUCAGAAGAUUUGCAAUUCAUUGCAAAUUACCUGCCAGAUUCAUUUACUGCCUAUAAUGGUGUCACCCAAUCCCACAAUCCUGGCAAAGUACGCCUGAAAGAGUGGAGGUACCAACAAAAACCACUCCACUCCCCGUUCGAUGCAACAGGGGGAGAUGUAUGGCAAAAGUACAUCAGGAUUCAGCUUCUCGCAAGCAAGGAUAUCAAGGCCUAUGAAUCAGUAAAUGCAAGUCAACUUCAUGUUGACAGACACCUAAUGGGUACUAUACCCAGUGGAUGGGAAACCUCCACCAACCCAGGUCAUAGUGCACAUAAUGACCUGGACAUUGGAAUACCCGACUCAAUCGCAUUGAGAAAUCGCGAGUAGUCACCAUGGGUAACGAUAUUUCCAUCAACUCUAUAUUGAUAUAUAGAUUCUGGAGAAUCAUAUAAACGGAAGUCUACAAUUGUCGAUAUACAUUUCUCAACUAGAUUGCAAAACCUUUCACAUGAUUCAGGUCCAAAGACCAUGGCCAUGGCAUAGUGUGAACAACACUCGGACUGAACUCAAGCAAAGGAUAUAAUCUAGGUAGAAAUGAUCUUGCUCAAUAAUGGAAAGGUAUUCAUAAGCAAUACCUACACCAGUUUUCUUCUGAAAACAGAAUUGAGAACAAUGAGGUGGUGAAACAAAGAGCAAGUAUUGUAGCAUAGGGGUUCAUGCAGAUACCCAACUAUUCUCUAGAGGUGGAAUCUCUUUCCGAUAAUUUAUAUCAUUGGCAGUACAUAAUCAUCUAUCUCUGCAGUUGAUAGAUGUAGUGAUCACAUAUCCAUGUGGAUCACUAGAUUCAUACAUAUAUGAUUGAUUCCCAAUGGAAUCUCACCUCUGAAUCGAAAUGCAAAAUGCAACAUACAUUGUGUACAAAUCAGUAAGUCAUCAUAAGACUUAUUGUUGUCAGUACAUAUGGUACAACCGACAUAGUGAGAUCCUUGUACAAAAGGAUUACUCCUACAAUGAUGAUUAUCCAUGUUUGUGUGUCUGUAAUGACGACACAUGUAACCAUCCAAACGACGGAGUAUAAAAUGAAGGAUUUGGGUAAACCAAAAUACCGCUCGUUACUACAACUUGAGCACCUUCAUUCAUACAUUAUGGUAUACUAUGUUGUCUAUAUCCAUAAUAUAUUGGAGAAAUUCAUUGUGGACAAAUCUUAUCCAUCCAUAAACCCUCAUGGUAGUUCAUUCUCUAGAUGUAGAGAAAGAUCUAUUUAGACCAAGAGAUGAUGGAAAUGAGAUAUUGAGACUGAACGUUCCAUAAUGUCAUUGGAUCCACCAAACACAAUUGGUUGGUACUCAAGAAUAUUUUUCGAUAUCUCCAAGGCAUCAAACAUCUUGUCCUGGUUUUUCAGUUUCACAUAAAUGUGAACAUCGAUAUCAUUGGAUACAUCGAUCAGAUCCCCACUAUAUCAAGUCAUAGACAAACUUAGUGUUCCUACUAGGUGUGGUAGCCCUCUCAUGAAGAGUCUUCGAAACAGACCUCAUGGCGACAUCCACCAACCAUUAUCUCAAUGAUAAUGUUUCUUGUGUUGCCCGGAUGCAAACAUGUUAUAAUAAGCAAUAUCACUAUAUUGCAUAUCUUGCUAGUCAAAUCAUGCUACUGUUUUGUUCAUCGGGUCUCUACCAACUUCUAUGUUCCAGAAAUGUGUUCAUGGAAUUGGUAUGUGACAGCUUCGAAUUUUGCAAGAAUCAGGGGGAGUAUCUUCCUGAAUUGUUCAUGUUCAAUGCAUCAUAUUAUACUCUUUUUUCCUUCAUGAGUUUACUUUAUAGGUUCUCAUAAAGGUUUUUAAUGAGGUAAUAUCGACAUGAGAUCAUAUGUCAUACUUUCUGUUUUCCCCACUGGGGUUUUUAGGAAAGUAUAUACGACAUAUUUAUUGUCAUUUGAACUCUAUGGGUUUUCUCGUAUUGAGUUAAAAAUUAAUAAUAACCAUUAUAUGUUGCAUCAUUUUCUCCUUAUUUUUCCCAUUAGGUUUGAAGGAGUUUUGGCAACAUAUCAAUCAAUAUACUCCUCAUAUUUUUUCCACAGGGUUUUUAGAGGAGUCUCUUUCAAGAUGAUGAUGCUACCUGAACAAGCAUGGAUUAGGGGGAGUGUUAAGAUUAAUUAACAUAGUCAUUAAGGGAUUAAUCCCUGCUUGUACUAACCGCAUGCAGUUGCAAACUGCUGCGCCGGUUCUUUGUUCAACAGGCACCAGUUCUCUGUUCAAUAGGCACCUCCUCCGAACAAACACCUCUCUACUGGCGUCCCCUCCCUUGUAUAAAUAGCAGUUACCAUCCAAUAAAGAGGACACUUGAUUCAUUUUAUUGUAUGAACUUCUCUGCCGAUCUUUAUUUUAAUAGUGACAAUGGUGGUGGUGGUGUAGCUGUUAACUCGCACUUUGUCUAUGCUUUGAACUUGAUGUUAAUUAUACAAGUG